CUGAGCCAAUGAUGUACUGUUAUCCCUGUCUGAAAACUCAGCUGUGAGGGAGAAAUGAAUAUCUGAGGCUCAU
rfam:Alligator mississippiensis ScZkoYb_42.1, whole genome shotgun sequence.